rnacentral:rRNA from 1 species
CCUACGUGGUGCUGCAGUGGGGAAUAUUGGACAAUGGGCGAAAGCCUGAUCCAGCCAUGCCGCGUGUGUGAAGAAGGCCUUCGGGUUGUAAAGCACUUUCAGUGGGGAAGAAAGCCUUGGGGCUAAUACCCUCGAGGAAGGACAUCACCCACAGAAGAAGCACCGGCUAACUCCGUGCCAGCAGCCGCGGUAAUACGGAGGGUGCGAGCGUUAAUCGGAAUUACUGGGCGUAAAGCGCGCGUAGGCGGUCUGAUAAGCCGGUUGUGAAAGCCCCGGGCUCAACCUGGGAACGGCAUCCGGAACUGUCAGGCUAGAGUGCAGGAGAGGAAGGUAGAAUUCCCGGUGUAGCGGUGAAAUGCGUAGAGAUCGGGAGGAAUACCAGUGGCGAAGGCGGCCUUCUGGACUGACACUGACGCUGAGGUGCGAAAGCGUGGGUAGCAAACAGGAUUAGAUACCCGGGUAGUC